UACAGAGGGUGCAAGCGUUAAUCGGAAUGACUGGGCGUAAAGGGCGCGUAGGUGGUUGUAUAAGUUAGUUGUGAAAUCCCCGGGCUUAACCUGGGAACUGCAUCUGAUACUGUAUGACUAGAGUAGGGUAGAGGAAAGUAGAAUUCCGGUGUAGCGGUGAAAUGCGUAGAGUAUCGGAAGGAAUACCAGUGGCGAAGGCGCUUCUGGACCCAUACUGACACUGAGCGCGAAAGCGUGGGAGC
rnacentral:rRNA from 1 species